AGAUUCUCCAUCUCAGAGGCGGAGCAAGAAAUGCUAUCAGCUCCUUCAGACGCUGCCAGACUGUUUACCUACUUCCCUCAAAUCAGUGGGGGUAUAAGCACUAUAAGAGGUAUGUGCCACCACUGUGAGGGGUCCUGGGAUCUCGCCUGCGGUCCCAUUGGCUGCUCAUGUUCUACCUUCUGAUGGAUCACAGGGUGAUCCAGCAGUGGAGGAACCUCCUCCUCAGCAUCAGACUGAAUCGGAGUGUCCCGCCAGGAGGAUGGGCUCAAGGCCGGGCUGACAGCUGUUGCUAAAUCCUGUUCCUGGCUAUUUAUCUGGGCCUCUAAGUGCCCUGCUUGCACCUGGAGGUCCCCCACCCCCAGGUCCUGCUCCAAGCUGUGCACUUGGGCCCCCAGGUGCUCAGCUUGUCCUGGGAGGUCCCUUACCUGUGGAACUGAGCAUGUACUUCCUGCAGUGCUGUCAGAAACGCCCAUCCGACGCUGCCAGCAAAGGUGCAUUCCUUCUUGGUGCUGUGUGCUCGCACACUUGCAGGAGACCUCUCCACUGCCUCCCGCGUUUCCACUGGGGCUCAUCCAAGCAGCACCGCUGCCCCUGGGUACAGCCCGUGCUGCAGCCACAUAGCUGACCCAGGAGCCCUCAGGGGCCAAAGACCUACUCACUUCAUCCUGCCAACGUCGCAAUUGUCAGAAAGGUUCUCAUUCUGUCACCCAGACUGGAGUGCAGUGGUGCAAUCUCGUCUCACUGCAGCUUCAACCUCCCAAUCUCAGCUGAUCCUCCUUCUGCAGUCCCCCAAGCUGGGACUACAGGUGCACAUCACCAUGCCUGGGAUCAAAAUCCAAAUUGACUGUAUGAUCAUCACUGGCAUCUUCCAAAGUUGCUUUCAUCAGAAACUAUGUCCCAGCAUUCCAGCCCCACCACUGUCCCUACCAACCCUUUGAAGCUUCUACUUCUCAAUUUUUCCUCCAUCUGGUCUAUCACCCAUU